CCCAGACUCCUACGGGAGGCAGCAGUGGGGGAUAUUGCACAAUGGGGGGAACCCUGAUGCAGCGACGCCGCGUGGGUGAAGAAGUAUUUCGGUAUGUAAAGCCCUAUCGGCAGGGAAGAAAUUGGACGGUACCUGACUAAGAAGCCCCGGCUAACUACGUGCCAGCAGCCGCGGUAAUACGUAGGGGGCAAGCGUUAUCCGGAUUCACUGGGUGUAAAGGGAGCGUAGACGGCCAUGCAAGCCUGGAGUGAAAGCCCGGGGCCCAACCCCAGGACUGCUCUUGGAACUGCGUGGCUGGAGUGCAGGAGGGGCAGGCGGAAUUCCUGGUGUAGCGGUGAAAUGCGUAGAUAUCAGGAGGAACACCGGUGGCGAAGGCGGCCUGCUGGACUGCAACUGACGUUGAGGCCCGAAAGCGUGGGGAGCAAACAGGAUUAGAUACCCGCGUAA
rnacentral:rRNA from 1 species